CACCAGCUCUGACACACACACACACACACACAUGCAGAAGUUAUUAUAUAGGAUACCUACACUCACUUGCAUGCAUCCAUGAUGAUCACUCAGUAAAAUAUCAUUGAUAUCGUUUAUAAAAAUUGUGAUAAUUGUUAGAACUAAUGUGUGUGCAACUGAAUGCAUAAUAUUCAUCAUUUAAGUGGUAAAUUGCAUAAAAUGUGAAUAUGGUCGCCCUCCAUUUUAUCCUCUCGGUGACGCCUGUGUCAUGAAUGAAUCAUAAAUGAAUGAUGAGUGAAUGAGUGAGUGAAGAUCUUCAAAGUCAUCACUGUGAAUCAGGACUUUAAAACACAAACACUGGACGAGGCUGCAACGUUCCCUGAAAAAAACCCUGAGUCUUCCCGACCCCGCCCACAAACGCUCCCUCAGGCAGGUCUGAUAGUUUUGCUUGACAGAGCCCGUUUUCAGCAAGAAUCACCGAAGGUUACAUCCUGCAGCUUUGAUCGUCACAUUGUCAGAAUCACCUCAGUUUAAUACGAUCACAGGAUUUACGAUUUAGGAUCUAAGUUUAAAAGAAAUCCACCUGUUCUCUCUCUCGCUGUGCGAUGGACGAGAGGUUCCAUGCCACGCCCCUUUCGCCAUGGCAGCUUAGCUUUGCACAAAGAUUGGAAACAUAGGAAACAGCUGAUCUGGCUCUGCUCACAGGUAAUAAAAUCCACCGUCUGCUACUCUGAAGUGCAUUCAUUAGACCCAGAAAUGUCAAACUACUCUGUUAAUGAUCCUGAGUGGACGACUUUGACUCACACAGGCUUUUAUGUUACUGUACCACACUGGCACCAGGUGGCUGUAAGUGCCUGACCGUAUACUGUAUACCUGUGUGUGUGUGUAUAUAUAUGUAUAUGUAUACAUAUAUAGGCACAAACAGACUUCAGACUUCUGCUUCUGAUUAUAUUUUCCUUUAUUAUCAUGUUCGAUCCCCGCAUGCAUUUGUGGUGUUUGUGAUUCAAGUGACAGAGAAACAUUUGUGAGAUAACACCAUGUUGGGUGUGCCUAAUAAAGUGGCGUGUGCCUGUAAUUAUCCCAGAUUACAGCAGCGUGUCCUUGUGUGUUCUCAGUGUGGCCGACCUCAGGAGAUUAAGGUCGUUUGGAGUCUUCGCUGCAGGUGAAACUGGCUUCAGUUAACAAAGCUGCCUCAGAGUAAACAAGUGUCUGAGCGGGUCAUGUUUACUGUCGCUGUUCAGGAAGUAGACGACACAGAGGGAGGAGACUGGAUUAUAGACUUUAAUCUGUGGUCUCAUCUAAAAUCAGCGACUCACAUUAGUGCUUCAGUAUGUCAACAAUGGAAAGAGUCAAGUGUUUGUGUUGUUAUCUUUCCCAUCUUAACUUUAUAUGACUUAUUCAUCUUUGUGUUGUCUGCAGUUGUGUGUGAAUGUUCUCACACUCUACACACAAGACUUUUGUGUCUAAUCCAGAGAGUUGUACUUGGCUGUACUUCAUCAAUCCUGACAUGUGAACAGCAACAUUCAAUUAACCUUGAGCUUAAUCAAUAGAAGCGACAAUGGACACCAGUGUGACUUCUCAUGUGUCGCUCUGUGUGUGUGUGUGAAAAAGUGUUCACAGGAAUUCACGUCCAAUGUCAAACCAGCACGGCGUGAAAAAUGUCCCCACACCAGUGAAAGACUCUCUGAGACUGAGCAACAGGUCUCACGUCUUUGGUCCUGGUCUCGUUCUUCACACACAUCGACGUCUUCCCUCAGAGUUUGUCAAACAUCUGAAGUCAUUCCUGCCUGUGCUCAUCACCUGUUUUUGUCUCUAUGUGUCCCCGUCAACUGUCCAGGGUGUGACCCCGCCUUGACCCCGCCUAUCGCCCCGUGUCAGCCGUGACUGACACAGUCUGUGACCCUCGUGUGGAGGAUAAAGCGGUAGAAGACGGAUGAUCUUAGACCAAUUGAGGACAGCAGAGAAGGUUUACCUGACACUCCUCCUGCCAUGUACACGGCCAUCAUGACUCCCAGGGUGAAACCAACAUGGAUGGUCAGAGGUUCCCCGACAGCCCCUCUACUCAGCACCGUCUGAGCCACUGAACCACAUCCAAAGAGCUGGGAAACAGACGAGAGGACAAACACAAAGGAUGGAAGCAGAAAGAGCCUUUGUUUUUAAUUCUUCCAAUUAUCCCGAGCAUUAACACUCGCCCCCUCGUCCAACAACAGCCUCUGACUGCCACACACAAUUUGUCCCACACGGAGCUUUGGGAAAAUAAUUAGUCGCCCAGUUUCUGAGGAAGAGGGAGGAACAAGGAGGAGGAGGAGGAGAAGUGAGAGCUCGCGCUGUCACCACAGAGACAUCAAAGACAGACGCGGUGUUAAUUGAGACAUGUGAGAGACAGCAGUCAGAGCCCCCACAGAGACACUUGGACACUUUGACACCUGAUUAGCAUCGCGGUGCUUCAGCAGGUGCACAGAGAUACUCACGA